AGCGAACGCUGGCGGCAGGCCUAACACAUGCAAGUCGAACGGAUCCUUCGGGAUUAGUGGCGGACGGGUGAGUAACACGUGGGAACGUGCCCUUUGGUUCGGAACAACUCAGGGAAACUUGAGCUAAUACCGGAUGUGCCCUUCGGGGGAAAGAUUUAUCGCCAUUGGAGCGGCCCGCGUCUGAUUAGCUAGUUGGUGAGGUAACGGCCCACCAAGGCGACGAUCAGUAGCUGGUCUGAGAGGAUGAUCAGCCACACUGGGACUGAGACACGGCCCAGACUCCUACGGGAGGCAGCAGUGGGGAAUCUUGCGCAAUGGGCGAAAGCCUGACGCAGCCAUGCCGCGUGAAUGAUGAAGGUCUUAGGAUUGUAAAAUUCUUUCAGCGGGGACGAUAAUGACGGUACCCGCAGAAGAAGCGCCGACUAACUUCGUG
rnacentral:rRNA from 1 species